rnacentral:lncRNA from 1 species
GGAGAUCCAUUCGACCUUCGACCUUCAAUGGAGGAAAACACCCAAAGCGUUGAAAGGCUUCAACAGAUAUGGGACAUCUAUUGUAACCUUUGGCGUUUCUCUUCUUUUUCAUUUAACACAGAACAGAGGCACAUAGAAUCAAUGAUAUGGAUCAAAGACAACAACAAAGGAAGUACCAAACUCCACAGCACCACGAACCCACCAUAAAUCAAGGACCAAAUGAUAAAUUGAAGAAAAAGGAAGAUGGAAAAUUGGGAAAGAGGAAGAGGA